AAAUAACAGGCCAUAAACAAAUCCCUUUUCCUUUCCUCCCUCCUCAACCCCUCCAUCCCUUGUUCCCCUUCCCACGUGAAAAGAUCUCCGUACGUCCUCAUCUCCCUCUCUGCUCAGAAGGCCGUUUCCUGAACGACUCCUCGUUCCAUCCCCCUUUGAAAUAGAUUUCUGCCUAAGACAGUGGCAAAAAUACAUAAAUGAAUAAAAGCAACCCACAAAAUCUCACAAAACAAGACCGCUUCAAGCACAAAAAUGAUGCGUGUAUCUUGCAUCCUGCAUGGCAAACAAUCCCCUAAAAGCGUUCGGGUUAGUUUCUAUACAGAGAGUAGCUUUCCUGUCCACACCAUAGAGCUUAGCUAUGGCUUUUAUUAGUGCACUCCCGUUCCUUUCCUUCCCUGCUCCCCUUCCUUACCCCUUCCGUUUUUCCUUUUCCGUCUUCUUCCCCUUCCCCACUGUCCUCGUUUCACUUUCAGGCCUUUUUGCCUCCUUAGACUGAGAAAUAUGUUGCACUUGUCUUUCUGAAUCUGACUUAUUUCAUUUAGCGCAAUGAACUCCGUUUCCAUCCACUUUCCCGCAAGUGGCAUGACUGCGUCCUUCAUCUGUUAGGCGCAUCUGGGCUGACUUCAUAACGUGGUGCUUGUACAUAAAGCCACAGCCAACACAGGAACGCGGGCACCUCCCUGCUGUGCUGCCUUUACUUCCUUCCGGUGUGUACUCAGAUCUGUCACCAUCUGACUCCUGGUUCUUCCCCAAAGUCAAAAUGACUGUGAAAGGUGAAAGUUCUGAAUCACAACAGCACAACUAAAGACACUCACGAAAGAAGACAACUAAAGCUGCUUCGAAAAUGUCAAGAAUGAUGGUGUGUGUAUGUGUGUGAGGCAAAAGGAAUAUCUUGAGUAGGAUUAAUGGUAAUAUCUUUUGCUAUAAUAAUUUUUUAAAUUAAUACAAUAAUUUAAAAAAUGAGCUUUAUCUGCCUCUCUUCUCUCUACCUGUCUAUACGGGUGACUUUCAACCUGCAAUUUAUGUUCGUUACAUCUUUUUCUCAAUUAAAUCUGAAGCUCUGGGCUCAAGAUUUUUUGCUCCCCUCUUUGUUCCUCCUUUUCCGCAAUGCCAUUUUCCAAGAUGGGGCCAGAGCUCUACUUGUACUGGAGGGAGGAGCAGGUGCUAUGCCUAUUUUAUUCAUCAGCUGUGAGGUCGCGCGCCCCGUGUGGUCCAUUAGGGGUUACUGAAUAGGCCUGGGGUGCGCAGUGAAUCGUACGUGGGCGGCCCCGUGGCUGCAGACUUCAGGACCUGCUUCUGCUGUGCCCUGUGUGGCCAGGUGUGGUCACCAGUCAUGCCCUGCAGUCACGGGGCAAGUCGUCUUGGUCCCACGGCAGGAAAGCCUACGUGCCAGCCACAACCUUGUCCACUGCGGGAGUCUUCAUGGCCGUCACGAUGUUCCACGCACCUUCAGCCCUGACUGUCACAGACCGACGACAGCUCUGGUGUGCAGCAGCAGGACCCGACCCUGCCUAGCUACAGCCUUGUGCCGGAGAUCACCCUCUUGGGCAUGGGUGAGCAGGGGCUCUCAGGAGCAGCCUGAAGGAGUCCUACAGCAGCACUGUCACUUUGGAAUCUAACUUUCAUGCCAUUUAGCUUUUCAAUCAUAGUUUCAUUCUCUUUAACGUUGUGAUAUGUUCUGUGAGAAUCCUUUAGCUUGAUAUUCCACCAUACUGACUUUUCUACUGAGCUCUCUUUUAAAUACAUUUUAAUUUUUUUUAGCAUGGAAAUUUUCAAACAUAUAUUAAAACAGGAAAAAAAUACUAUAAUGCAGUGCAUGUGUCUAUCAUUAAACUAUUGUAACAGUUAUUAACACAAGAUCAACUUCGGUUCAAUCUAUCAGCCCCUAC